CCAGACUCCUACGGGAGGCAGCAGUGAGGAAUAUUGGUCAAUGGGCGCGAGCCUGAACCAGCCAAGUCGCGUGAGGGAAGACGGUCCUAUGGAUUGUAAACCUCUUUUGUCGGGGAGCAAAAGACGCCACGCGUGGCGUUCCGAGAGUACCCGAAGAAAAAGCAUCGGCUAACUCCGUGCCAGCAGCCGCGGUAAUACGGAGGAUCCGAGCGUUAUCCGGAUUUAUUGGGUUUAAAGGGAGCGUAGGUGGAUUGUUAAGUCAGUUGUGAAAGUUUGCGGCUCAACCGUAAAAUUGCAGUUGAAACUGGCAGUCUUGAGUACAGUAGAGGUGGGCGGAAUUCGUGGUGUAGCGGUGAAAUGCUUAGAUAUCACGAAGAACUCCGAUUGCGAAGGCAGCUCACUGGACUGCAACUGACACUGAGGCUCGAAAGUGUGGGUAUCAAACAGGAUUAGAUACCCCUGUA
rnacentral:rRNA from 1 species